rnacentral:rRNA from 1 species
UACGUAGGGCGCGAGCGUUGUCCGGAUUUAUUGGGCGUAAAGAGCGCGUAGGCGGUUUGGUAGGUCCGCUGUGAAAACUCGAGGCUCAACCUCGAGACGCCGGUGGAAACCAUCAGACUAGAGUCCGGAAGAGGAGAGUGGAAUUCCUGGUGUAGCGGUGAAAUGCGCAGAUAUCAGGAAGAACACCCGUGGCUAAGGCGGCUCUCUAGUACGGUACUGACGCUGAGACGCGAAAGCGUGGGGAGCGAACAGG